rnacentral:rRNA from 1 species
GAUGAACGCUGGCGGCGUGCCUAACACAUGCAAGUCGAGCGAUUCUCUUUGGAGAAGAGCGGCGGACGGGUGAGUAACGCGUGGGUAACCUGCCCUAUACACACGGAUAACGUACCGAAAGGUACGCUAAUACGAGAUAAUAUAUUUUUAUCGCAUGGUAAAAAUAUCAAAGCUCUGGCGGUAUAGGAUGGACCCGCGUCUGAUUAGCUAGUUGGUAAGGUAAUGGCUUACCAAGGCGACGAUCAGUAGCCGACCUGAGAGGGUGAUCGGCCACAUUGGAACUGAGACACGGUCCAAACUCCUACGGGAGGCUG